rnacentral:rRNA from 1 species
UACCAGCACCCCGAGUGGUCGGGACGUUUUAUUGGGCCUAAAGCAUCCGUAGCCGGUUCUACAAGUCUUCCGUUAAAUCCAACUGCUUAACAGGUGGGCUGCGGAAGAUACUAUAGAGCUAGGAGGCGGGAGAGGCAAGCGGUACUCAGUGGGUAGGGGUAAAAUCCUCUGAUCCAUUGAAGACCACCAGUGGCGAAGGCGGCUUGCCAAUACGCGCUCGACGGUGAGGGAUGAAAGCUGGGGGAGCAAACGGG